GCUUGCAUAGCUCAGCGGUAGAGCACUACAUUAACUUACGGUUUUGAAGGGAUUGCUUCAGGUGGAGAUCCGAGUUCGACUCUCGGUGCAAGUA